rnacentral:rRNA from 1 species
AGUGAACGCUGGCGGCGUGCCUAAUACAUGCAAGUCGAACGGAGUGGCGCACGGGUGAGUAAUGUAUAGCUAAUCUGCCCCUUGCUGGAGGACAACAGUUAGAAAUGACUGCUAAUACUCCAUAGCAAGGGAUGAGACUAUAUCGUAUCAGCUAGUCGGUGGGGUAACGACCUACCGAGGCUAUGACGCGUAACUGGUCUGAGAGGAGGAUCAGUAACAGUGGAACUGAGACAGGGUCCAGACUCCUUCGGUAUGCAACAGUAGGGAAUCUUGCGCAAUGGGGGAAACCCUGACACAGCAACGGCGCGUGGAGGAUGACUCUUUUCGAAGCGUAAACACCUUUUGUUAGGGAAGCGGUACCUAACGAAUAAGCACCGGCUAACUCCGUGCCAGCAGCCGCGGUAAUAC